rnacentral:tRNA from 1 species
GGCGUAGUAGCUCCAAUGGCCAGAGCGCCCGACUGUCGAUCGGGAAGCUACGGGUUCGAGUCCCGUCUGCGCCG